CCUCGAUCCUAAAGUAAGUAAAACCCUAACAUACAAACACAACAUUUAUUUUCUUAGUGGUAACUCCCAGUGCCCACUCUCUCUAUCCGUUGGGUCACCAGAUAGGCUUGUAGUUGACAAUGGCCACACAAAUCCCGGAGGGGUGGCAAUGGGAAGGUAUAUGUGGAGGAAAUUAUUGUAGUAGAGGGAAAAAAGAUUGGAAUUGUAGGGAAGAAAGAUUGUGACCGUGAAGGAAGAAAAGUAAAUCAACAGUUAAACACGUCCAACCAAAGCUAACCAAAAGGUUGUUGGUUCUGUAUCCACAUUAAGAACAGACUCCCAUUGGCAAAAUUUAGUUGAAAGUGCAGAGCAGAAAAAAGCUUCUUAUAAGACAGAUCAUGAAUAUGAAGUGUAAACAACCUAUCCUCGAAGAAAGUGCAAAGCAAGUUGAAGUAGAAGUUGAUUAAGUUCUAUUAGUGGUGGUCUAAAGAUGUCUUAUGUACAUAUACCGCAAUUCAAUUAUCUUUCUAGGAGUUGAUAAAAUAGCGUCAUAUAAUUUGGAUUGAUACGUUUUCUGACAAUGUACGUAAUGCUUUAGUUAUUUGUAUUAACAGUGAAAUUUGAUAUGAUUAUUUGGUAUA